rnacentral:rRNA from 1 species
AUGUUAUACACCGCACGCCAAAAUUGCCGAAUGGAGCAAAAACGGAAAAUACAUAUACAUGGACAGAAAGCUACAACAACUAACACCUCUCAGGGUGCACAGGUACUGUUGCCCCAUAGGGUAUAUAGCAAACCUAUGUAUGUAUGGGAGGUUGAGGUUCAGACAGUGUUCCACUUGAUCUCGAGCUGCAGCUUGCCGUUCCUGGAGUUGAUGAGGUGGUACUUCUCGUUGAUUCGCCCGUUGUUCACCACAUCCACCAGGUUUAUGUUGACAUGCCCCAGCGACUCCUGGGGUGCGGAACGGGAGGAGCCUGCGGCGUCUGCUUCUGAUCUCGAUGUGGAUCUUCUCGUCCAUGGGGGCCUCGUCCACCACGAACUGGAACUCCUCGUUCCACUGAUAUUGCCUUCACCAUCUGAAAUCAGAGGACUCGUGCUGUUUUCCUCUCUGAAAGGAUCAAACGUCAGUUCCACAACGAGCUUUCCUCUAUUCUUCUUGUUUUGCUGA